rnacentral:rRNA from 1 species
CAAAAUCAAUAGCCACCACACACCUAACCCCUAACCUACUGGCCCACCACCAAACAACGCUGGCUAAUAUUUUUAGGUUGGGGCGACCUUGGAGAAAAACAGAACCUCCAAAAUCAAGGCCACAACCCUUAACCAAGAGCCACCCCUCAACGUACCAACAGUGCUCAGACCCAAUAAAAUUGAUCAAUGGACCAAGCUACCCCAGGGAUAACAGCGCAAUCUCCCCCAAGAGCCCCUAUCGACGAGGAGGUUUACGACCUCGAUGUUGGAUCAGGACAUCCUAGUGGUGCAGCCGCUACUAAGGCUCGUUGUCAACGAUAUUG